ACUCAGGAUAGCUCAGUAGGUAGAGCAUGAGGCUCUUCAUCUCACGGUCUUAGGUUCAAGCCCCAAGUUGGGCA